rnacentral:rRNA from 1 species
AAUCAACGCUGGCGGCGUGCCUCAGACAUGCAAGUCGAACGCGAAAUUUUCCCUUCGGGGAGAAAGUAGAGUGGCGCACGGGUGAGUAACACGUAGGUAAUUUGCCUUUGGGUGGGGAAUAACUCAGGGAAACUUGAGCUAAUACCGCAUAAUGCAGCGGCUCGACAUCGAGACAGUUGUUAAAGCGGGGGAUCGCAAGACCUCGCGCCUAAAGAGAAGCCUGCGGCAGAUUAGCUAGUUGGUAGGGUAAUGGCCUACCAAGGCAACGAUCUGUAACCGGCCUGAGAGGGCGGUCGGUCACACUGACACUGACAUACGGGUCAGACUCCUACGGGAGGCAGCAGUCGGGAAUUUUGGGCAAUGGGCGAAAGCCUGACCCAGCAACGCCGCGUGAAGGAUGAAAUCCCUCGGGAUGUAAACUUCGCAAGAACGGGAAGAAUAAGUAGAAGAUAAUACCUUCUAUGAUGACGGUACCGUUU